CAGGAGAUGGAUGGAGCACCCUGCUCUGUUCCAGGCGGUCGCAACCAUGGCCAUCAGGUAUCUCAAUGCAUGGGCGGCAUCUGCCUGCCGCCGAUGUCAUCCCACGCACUAAAACGCGGUAAAAGAGGAUGCCUGCUCGUUCUAGCAGCGAAGAAGAUAAUAGGAAAGGUGAAGGAAGCGAGAGAGAGAAAAAGGACUCUUGAAGGCUCUGGAGUGGCGGG
rnacentral:lncRNA from 1 species